GACGAACGCUGGCGGCGUGCUUAACACAUGCAAGUCGAACGGAAAGGCCCUGCUUUUGUGGGGUGCUCGAGUGGCGAACGGGUGAGUAACACGUGAGUAACCUGCCCUUGACUUUGGGAUAACUUCAGGAAACUGGGGCUAAUACCGGAUAGGAGCUCCUGCUGCAUGGUGGGGGUUGGAAAGUUUCGGCGGUUGGGGAUGGACGCGCGGCUUAUCAGCUUGUUGGUGGGGUAGUGGCUUACCAAGGCUUUGACGGGUAGCCGGCCUGAGAGGGUGACCGGCCACAUUGGGACUGAGAUACGGCCCAGACUCCUACGGGAGGCAGUAGUGGGGAAUAGUGCACAAUGGGCGGAAGCCUGAUGCAGCAACGCCGCGUGCGGGAUGACGGCCUUCGGGUUGUAAACCGCUUUCGCCUGUGACGAAGCGUGAGUGACGGUAAUGGGUAAAGAAGCACCGGCUAACUACGUG
rnacentral:rRNA from 1 species